AGUGGCGAACGGGUGAGGAACACGUGAGAAACCUGCCUUUUGGUUCGGAACAACACGGGGAAACCUGUGCUAAUACCGGAUAAGUCCUAACGGAGAAAGUUUUAAUGCCAAAAGAUGAGCCCGCAUUUGAUUAGCUAGUUGGUAAGGUAAUGGCUUACCAAGGCAACGAUCAAUAGCUGUUCUUAGAGGAAGACCAGCCACAUUGGGACUGAGACACGGCCCAAACUCC
rnacentral:rRNA from 1 species